CCUACGGGCGGCAGCAGUGAGGAAUAUUGGUCAAUGGGCGCGAGCCUGAACCAGCCAAGUAGCGUGAAGGAUGACUGCCCUACGGGUUGUAAACUUCUUUUAUAAAGGAAUAAAGUGAGGCACGUGUGCCUUUUUGUAUGUACUUUAUGAAUAAGGAUAGGCUAACUCCGUGCCAGCAGCCGCGGUAAUACGGAGGAUCCGAGCGUUAUCCGGGUUUAUUGGGUUUAAAGGGAGCGUAGAUGGGUUGUUAAGUCAGUUGUGAAAGUUUGGGGCUCAACCGUAAAAUUGCAAUUGAUACUGGCAGACUUGAGUAAAGUUGAGGUAGGCGGAAUUCGUGGUGGAGCGGUGAAAUGCUUAGAUAUCACGAAGAACUCCGAUUGCGAAGGCAGCUUAUUAAACUGCCACUGACAUUGAUGCUCGAAAGUGUGGGUAGCAAACAGGAUUAGAUACCCCUGUAGUC
rnacentral:rRNA from 1 species